rnacentral:pre_miRNA from 1 species
UACCCUGUAGAACCGAAUUUGUGUGGUUUUAACAGUCACAGAUUCGAUUCUAGGGGGAUA